GUCUGGGCCCAGAGAUUCAGUUCCCCUAACCAGGACUCCCUUCUCUCACAGCUUGUGGACUGGCGAGGGCUCGGAGAGUGGUGCUCCAAGUGCCCCACUUGCAUCAGGGCAUCAGGGAGCUGUGUGAGAGGCUGGACACCGUGGAGGACGGGCCUCUGCGUGAGGACCGUGCCGAAAUAGCGAAGGAUGUUUGCCAGUACCUACCCCAGGGACAGGCCAGGAGCUUCAUGGACUCCAUCACGAAGACCUUCUCGUGCACUAACCAGGAGCGUGCACGAGCAGCUGGCGACUGGCUGAUCGCAUUCCUGGAGACACGCGGAAACGAAAUAUACCCAGAGGUGCCUGAAUUCAUGAAGAUCCUGUGGGAGGCCAGGCGCACCGUGCAGCAGAGCCCCCUCAAGGACCUCUUCUUCAAGGCACUCUGUCUCCUGGCCGGCUUCCGCAGCCAGGCUGUGGUGGACACCCUCCUCCAGACAGAAUCGCCCUCAGAGAGAGACGAGCGGCUCUGGAGGAGCCUGGGCAGCAGCGACCUCGGGCCUAAGGUGCUGUAUCACUUAAUUUGGAGACUGAACGAGGCAUCUGAAGCCAGGUGUCGGCUCACGGUUGCUGCUCAACCGCUGGAUCCUUUCAAGCUCCUCUGUGCCAUCUGUGAGGUGAUGUCUGCUCUGCUGACCACGAGGGAAACCCGGGACGUGCUUCUUUGCCUCUUUUUCGCCCUCCUGAAGCGGGUCAGCAUUGAACUGGGGACACUGGUGCUGUUUCCCCCCCUGAGUCUUCCGGCAGAAAUCUUCAAGGAAACGGAAGAAGAGGAGCUGGUGUGCGGACCCUACAGUGCUGCUCUGGAACAAGUGCUGGGAAGACUCCUGGACGAGAGGUGGCAGCGGGUGCUCUGCAAUCAUCGAGUGUGGCCGUCCCUGGACGUGCCUCAGUGGCACUGCAACGCCGUGCAGCUCCUGACCAGAGUGCUGCUCCAUGCCCAGCUCGUCUCACGUUUGCUGAUAAACAGCUUCAUGCUGUGGCUGCACUCCCCCUCGCAAAACCUGCAACUCACGGCGCUGGCUUUAUUCGCAGAGGUAAGGCGGCGCGUGGGGAAGGGCGGGCUCAGAGGGCUUUUCCAAAGAAACUGCUGCUUGGGGUGUCUCUUCAUGGAAGAGACCGGCCCAGGUCCCUUCUCGGCACUGACAGAGCUUUGGCUGUCUUGUAGGUGGUGAAGGACCCGCCAGCUGAGGGGAAGCAUCUCCUGAAGCCCCUGGUGUGGGUCUUCCUGGAGAAGCUGAAGAGUCCGAGCCGUGCUGUGAAGCAGAUGGCAGCGAGAGGCCUGGGCCGUGCUGUCAGUGGCUUGCCCAAGAAGGUGAGGUGCACUUCCCUCUGCUCUGGCUGCAGCCCCCCAGCAGAGAGCCGGGCAGGGCUGCAGGGCAGUUGGGGAGCCUGGGGCAGAGCAGCACAGGCAGAUGGGGGCUUCCCAACAGCCAGGCUGCUCUCCAAGCUCAGCACGCAGCCUGCGGGGAAACCUCUUGCCAAACGUGCCAGUGCCGUUCGUCACGGGGUUGUGCCGCAGC
rnacentral:lncRNA from 1 species